ensembl:lncRNA
UCAGACGCAGACCAAAUAUAACACAUAGAACUCAAACAAUAAUAAUCAUCAUCAUCAUCAUAAUAAUAAACUAAAAGCGCUGGGUCACCGACCCAGGACCAUGACAAUUUGUGUUUGUGGCAGUAAUGUGACAAAAUGUGGAAAAGAGGGACGAAUACUUUUGCAAGCCACUGCAAGUACACAGAGAGAUAAUGAGGGGAUGAGGAACAGCUGGGACAAGGGGAAACAAAACUAGACUCACUGCAUAUAGGACAAAGACUUUCCCAAUAAAACAGACAUCACAAGGGUAAUCUAAUAAACAAAUGAACUUAGCAAACCUAAAGAACUUAUAAAUAAACAUCGACAUCUAAACAAACUAAAACUUAAAACGCUGGGUCAACAGACCCAGGAAAGUGACAGUAAAAUCAUUUAUUAUACACAUUAUACUUAUUUUCUUAAAUUGCUUAUCUAUUAUCUGUAUUUUAACUUGGGGGUCUAGGGGUGCUGCAUGUUUAUGAUAACACACUGACAAUAUCAGGACAAUUUUAGCCUUACUCUAUCAGUGAACAGCAUGCCCAUGCUAACUUAAACUAGACCAGCAAGCUAACCCCAUGUGUAUUAAGUGUUACUUCAGAAUAGGAACCAAACAAAUUAACGGAACGAAAUUAACUGUAACAACAGUUUGCAAAACAUUGUGACAGUUCUCAAGUGUUCCUACCUCAAAUCCAGCACGUGUUGCUGUGUUUUUGUUGUUAAAUGGACGAGGAGAGACCGGUGGCUGGUGAGAGGAUGCAGCAUUUCGUCAGUGGAGCAUAGAACGACGUCUCUGAUUGGUCAACAAGUGAGUAAAGAUGCAUCUGAUUGUUCGAAAGCGUCAACCAAAGAGCUGCUGGUCACGGCAAGAUACAAACUCGCCGGAGCUCUGCAUGAACGGCACAUCCGGGACCUUCAGCACUCAGGAGAGAUUUAUCUUGAGACUCAUUUGUCCAAGCUACUACCCUGCUGUCCCUCUGUCGUGUCUCAACCUCCAACAGGAAAGUAGAAGUCCUCAUAUGACACCAGGUGCCGAGGUCCUGUCUCAACCUCCUUCAGACCAAUUGACACCAGGUGCCGAGGUCCUACCUCAACCUCCUUCAGACCAAUUGGCUCAAGGACCAAGUAUUCUGGGGGUUCCAAGCCACACGCUUUACUCAGCUGCCCUGGACAACAUGAAGGGCACCUCUGGCUCAAUCACCCUGAACAACAAAAACAUUAGCAACACUUCACCAAGAAGGGCUGGGACGGUGAGAAGCAAGUGGACAAAUGAUGAAGUGAAGGUUGCUGAGCGGCACGUUUCACUUCAUAAAAAGCUGCAAAGUACCAGGUAAAAAGGAAUGUGACUGCUGCCUCCAAGCAGAGCCGGCAGCUCUGAAAGACAGAGACUGGGUUGUCAUAAGGUACUACAGCCACAACAGGAUCAUAGCAUUAAAAGAAAGAUGCAAGAAAAAAAGAAACAAGCAAGAGAGAUACUUUGUUACUUCCACAGUUAUGUCAGUAUUGCAGUUUUCUGUAUUGCAUUGUUCUUACUCAUAAAUCUGUGGUUUAUGCUGGGUGCUUUUUGCAAUUAAAUGAUAAAAAAGGCAGAUAAUGUUCCACGUUUUUAUUCACAUGAACAUUCACUACAAAAUGAAUUAAUGCAUUACAAUAUCAA